rnacentral:misc_RNA from 1 species
GAUGAAGAACGUAGCGAAAUGCGAUAAGUAAUGUGAAUUGCAGAUUUCAGUGAAUCAUCGAAUCUUUGAACGCACCUUGCGCCUUGUGGUAUUCCACAAGGCAUGCCCGUUUGAGUAUCAUUAAAUCAUCAACUCUAAAACCUUUGUGGUUUUUUUAGAGCUUGGUCUUGAGGGUUUUGCAGGCUUUUUUUUUUUUCGAGUCUGCUCCCUUUAAAUGCAUUAGCGAGACUUCCCUAUGCUGAACCGUCUCUUUGACGUGAUAAUUAUCUGCGUCGAAUUUUGGUUCUCGUUGGGCUUGCUUCUAAUCGUCUGUUAAAGACAAAACGGAUUUGGGUGCAUAUAUGCGCCUUUUUCCAAAACCUUUUUUGAUCUCAAAUCGGGUAGGACUACCCGCUGAACUUAAGCAUAUCAAUAAGCGGAGA